UACGUAGGGUGCAAGCGUUAAUCGGAAUUACUGGGCGUAAAGCGUGCGCAGGCGGUUUUGUAAGUCUGUCGUGAAAUCCCCGGGCUUAACCUGGGAAUUGCGAUGGAGACUGCAAGGCUAGAAUCUGGCAGAGGGGGGUAGAAUUCCACGUGUAGCAGUGAAAUGCGUAGAGAUGUGGAGGAACACCGAUGGCGAAGGCAGCCCCCUGGGUCAAGAUUGACGCUCCAUGCACGAAAG
rnacentral:rRNA from 1 species